rnacentral:rRNA from 1 species
UACGUGGGUGGCAAGCGUUGUCCGGAUUUAUUGGGUUUAAAGGGUGCGUAGGCGGCUUUUUAAGUCAGUGGUGAAAGCCGAUCGCUUAACGAUCGAACUGCCAUUGAUACUGAGAGGCUUGAGUAUAGUUGAGGUAGGCGGAAUUGACAGUGUAGCGGUGAAAUGCAUAGAUAUUGUGAGGAACACCAAUUGCGAAGGCAGCUUACUAAAGUAUAACUGACGCUGAGGCACGAAAGUGAGGGGAGCAAACAGG